UGCCGAAUAGCUCAGUUGGGAGAGCGCCUGACUCUGGAUCAGGAGGUCCUAGGUUCGAGCCCUAGUUCGGCAG
rnacentral:tRNA from 1 species